rnacentral:rRNA from 1 species
AUUGAACGCUGGCGGCAUGCUUUACACAUGCAAGUCGAACGGUAACAGCACUUCGGUGGCUGACGAGUGGCGCACGGGUGAGUAAUACAUCGGAACGUGCCUAGUAGUGGGGGAUAACUACUCGAAAGAGUAGCUAAUACCGCAUGAGAUCUAAGGAUGAAAGCAGGGGACCUUCGGGCCUUGCGCUACUAGAGCGGCUGAUGGCAGAUUAGGUAGUUGGUGGGAUAAAAGCUUACCAAGCCGACGAUCUGUAGCUGGUCUGAGAGGACGACCAGCCACACUGGGACUGAGACACGGCCCAGACUCCUACGGGAGGCAGCAGUGGGGAAUUUUGGACAAUGGGCGCAAGCCUGAUCCAGCAAUGCCGCGUGCAGGAUGAAGGCCUUCGGGUUGUAAACUGCUUUUGUACGGAACGAAAAGCCCUCUUCUAAUACAGGAGGGUCAUGACGGCACCGUAAGAAUAAGCACCGGCUAACUACGUG